CACCAAGUUCAUAAUGUCCUGUUAUAGAAUAUUGAAAUGUCAAUCCUCUACUCUCGAGUACUUCCUAGCUAUCUGCUUGCACCUCUGCAAGCCGAAGUGACUCUUUCAAACACACUGGAUCUCAUUCAUCAGCCUGAAUGUGCUCUUUAUUUUAUUUGUUUUAACAAUCAAUGACUUAGUCAGGCAUGGGAAGCCCCAUCUCACACAUGAAUGUGGCUUAGUAACCUCUGAGCUGGAGCCCCGCGGUGGAGAAAUCACUGCCCUGCAGCAUUGGGCACCAUGCCAGGCAGCCAACUUUUUCAAGAAAUCUCUCCCAGUCAUUUAAGGAGUCUUUCACCAUAAAACACAGGCUCUCCAAGAGCUUGACUGUUAGAUACAGCUUGAGGAGGGAUCCAACAGUGUGGCUGUGCCUUUAGAAUACCGGAAAAAAAAAAAAAAAAAAAAAGCUGAUUGUGCCCAGGGUGUGAGACCAUCAGCAGACUCAAAUACAGUCUUUUUCUUCCCUGUGUCUGGAGCUUCCAAGACUCCCUCUUUCUGCACUUUAAGUAAUAUGAAUCCUUCUGAGCAGUGCCCACCAGCAGUGGUAACUGUACCUGCCAUCAGGCAUCCCCAACACAACAUAGGGAAGAUAUAGGUUGCUUACCCCAACUCUAGGCUAUCUGGAAGGCCUUCUAGUUUGCUGGGCUGGCUUAGCCUCAUCUAGGAUUAAAGAAUGAGGAACCUGUGCUCUGAUGCACAACAGUCAUGAGCAUGCAGCUUCACCUACUGUAGUGAGUAGCAGCUGGAGUCAGCACAUGAGAUAGUACUAGAGUCAGCCUGCAGGGCCAGGGCAAUAAUCCAGAGGGUAAACUUCAACACAAUUCACCGAGGGAGGCUAAAAGGGGACACCAUGAGAAGGGGGCAUCAUCUGUGUGAUUGCACAGUGGUGACUGCACAAAAGUCACCAAGAAAGAACAGCUCCCUGGCUCCCAAGAGAAGGACUUGGAGCAUGAGCCAGGCUCCGGGGACAUCAAAGCAGAAGAUACAAUCUAGGCGUGGAUGACUUCACACCCAUUUCUCACACAGGCCUGGCACUAGACACAAGGGAACUAGGUUGUAAUAGAAUCGAG
rnacentral:lncRNA from 1 species